AACGAACGCUCGCGGCAUGCCUAACACAUGCAAGUCGAACGAAGGCUUCGGCCUUAGAGGCGCACGGGUGCGUAACGCGUGGGAAUCUGCCCCUCGGUUCGGAAUAACAGUUAGAAAUGACUGCUAAUACCGGAUGAUGACUUCGGUCCAAAGAUUUAUCGCCGAGGGAUGAGCCCGCGUAAGAUUAGGUAGUUGGUGGGGUAAAGGCCUACCAAGCCGACGAUCUUUAGCUGUUCUGAGAGGAUGAUCAGCCACACUGGGACUGAGACACGGCCCAGACUCAGACGGGAGGCAGCAGUGGGGAAUAUUGGACAAUGGGCGAAAGCCUGAUCAAGCAAUGCCGCGUGAGUGAUGAAGGCCUUAGGGUUGUAAAGCUCUUUUACCAGGGAUGAUAAUGACAGUACCUGGAGAAUAAGCUCCGGCUAACUCCUUGCCAGCAGCCGCCGUAA
rnacentral:rRNA from 1 species